rnacentral:rRNA from 1 species
AAGGGAUUAGAUACCCCUGUAGUCCUGGCCGUAAACGAUGAACACUAGGUGUCGGGGGAAUCGACCCCCUCGGUGUCGUAGCCAACGCGUUAAGUGUUCCGCCUGGGGAGUACGCACGCAAGUGUGAAACUCAAAGGAAUUGACGGGGGCCCGCACAAGCGGUGGAGUAUGUGGUUUAAUUCGAUGCAACGCGAAGAACCUUACCAGGGUUUGACAUCCUGCGAAUCUCUUGGAAACGAGAGAGUGCCUUCGGGAGCGCAGAGACAGGUGGUGCAUGGCUGUCGUCAGCUCGUGUCGUGAGAUGUUGGGUUAAGUCCCGCAACGAGCGCAACCCACGUCUUUAGUUGCCAGCAUUUAGUUGGGCACUCUAGAGAGACCGCCGGUGAUAAACCGGAGGAAGGUGUGGAUGACGUCAAGUCAUCAUGCCCCUUACAUCCUGGGCUACACACGUACUACAAUGCUACGGACAAAGGGCAGCAAGUUCGCGAGGACAAGCAAAUCCCAUAAACCGUGGCUCAGUUCAGAUCGUAGGCUGCAACUCGCCUACGUGAAGGAGGAAUCGCUAGUAAUCGCAGGUCAGCAUACUGCGGUGAAUACGUUCCCGGGCCUUGUACACACCGCCCGUCACACCAUGGAAGUUGGCCACGCCCGAAGCCGUUACUCCAACCCUCGGGAGGAGGACGUCGAAGGUGGGGCUGAUGACUGGGGUGAAGUCGUAACAAGGUAACCGUA